CCCUUAGAUGUCCUGGGCCGCACGCGCACUACACUGAGUGUCUGAGAUACGAGUCUGCCUGGUCCGGCAAGGUCUAGGUAAUCGCUAAAAGACACAUCAUGCUUGGGAUAGAUUAUUGCAAAUAUUAAUCUUGAACGAGGAAUUCCUAGUAAGCGCAAGUCAACAGCUUGCGUUGAUUACGUCCCUGCCCUUUGUACACACCGCCCGUCGCUACUACUGAUUGGAUGUUUAAGCGAGGUUCUCGAACUGCUAGCGACUUAGCUUCGGUGAGGUCGCAGUGUGGGAAGUGAACCGAGCUUUGGUGUCUAGAGGAAGUAAAAGUCGUAACA
rnacentral:rRNA from 1 species